rnacentral:lncRNA from 1 species
UGUAAGACUUGGCAUGGCAUAUAGUUAACCAUCCGAACAUAGUUUUACGCAAACGACGCAUUAUAGUGGCUUAUACCACCAUAAUGGGUCGAAAGGGGUCAAAAGCACUUAGGUAGACUUCCAAAUCAGAAUGUUAGGUCUAUUAAAUCAUGCCAUAUGAGUUCCAAUACUCAUUUGAUUUAUAGAACUUCAUUCUAUCCUAUCUCCUGAUUUAGGAUCCGAUUGUUUAACUUAGUGAUUCCAUAGUAGGUGCCACUUGAUUCCUUGAUUUCCCGAGCUUUGUUAGGACACUUAAUCAAGGAUACUUGCAAUCUCAAGUGAGUACAUAGUCCCCUCUUUUACUGUUUUCAAUUGUUUUGGGGUGAAACAUAUAUGCCUAUUUGUUAUUUUCAUGAUUUUAAACUAUAUGAUUACACGUGCUUAGUACAUAUUCUUUUGACAAAUUAAACGAUUACCUACGGUUUAAACAAUGAUUUUCAAAACUUAUAAAACUAAUUGUUGGAUUGUACCUAUUUUUAUACAUCCACCCAGCCGAUUGGUAGUACGAUAUAGCGCUAUAGGACUAGACACCCCAUUCCUGUUAUAUGGAAUGUCAGAAACCAAAUUUUAACCAAAUAGAAAUUAUCUUCGUGGUAUUUCUAUAGUAUCCAAAGUGUAGUUUGAUACACUAAGGCUUGAUUGAAUACCAAAUCACACUUUCUUUGUAUAUGUUGAUAUACUACAAAAGUACAGUUUGAUGUGCUCUCAAAUGUGAUCUACCAAAGUACAUUUUGAUAUACUAAGUACAAAAUCCAACAUAUGUUUUAACAUACUACUUUGUUAUUUACCAAAGCAUAGUUUGAUAUGCUACUGUUUACCAAAGUAUAGAUUGAUAUACUACCAAAAGCAUAGUUUGAUAUGCUACUGUUUACCAAAGUAUAGUUUGAUAUACUACCAACUUUGUUAUUUCAUAAACUAAAGUAUAAUUUGAUAUACUACCAAAGCAUAGUUGAUAUGCUAUUUUCAAACCAAAGCAUAGUUGAUGUGCUAUUUUUAAACCAAAGCAUAUUUGAUAUGCUAUUUUCAAACCAAAGUAUAAUUUGAUAUACUACCAAUACUUUUAUCUUUAAACCAAAGUAUACUUGAGAUAUACUACCAAAUAUAUUAUUUUAAUUACUAAAGUAUAUUUCGAUAUACUAUCUAUUUAACUAUUUCAAAACCAAAGUAUAUUUUUGUCUAUACUAUAAACCCUUUUCCAAAACGAAACUUUUUCAGAAACAAAACUUUUACAUUGGAUUCAUGGCUAUUUUGAAAACAUAAAACCUUUUCUUGCAUUUCCCAAAGCCAUGAAUCUAAUACACAAAAUCCCAUGUACUGCUAUGUGAUGAUUGUUGAUGCAUGCUACACAUAGGAUGGACUUGUGCCUUAGCGACUUUAAAACCAAGAAACAAUUAUUUGUAUUUAAUUGAAUUGUAACAAAACAUUGAGUUUAAUAAUUCAAUAAAACAAAACUAUUU